rnacentral:rRNA from 1 species
GUCGAGCGCUUAUUUUUAAUAGGAGCGGCAGACGGGUGAGUAACGCGUGGGAAUCUACCUUUUUCUACGGGAUAACGCACGGAAACGUGUGCUAAUACCGUAUACGCCCUGAGAAGGGGAAAGAUUUAUUGGAGAGAGAUGAGCCCGCGUUAGAUUAGCUAGUUGGUGGGGUAAAUGCCUACCAAGGCUACGAUCUAUAGCUGGUCUGAGAGGACGAUCAGCCACACUGGGACUGAGACACGGCCCAGACUCCUACGGGAGGCAGCAGUGGGGAAUAUUGGACAAUGGGGGCAACCCUGAUCCAGCCAUGCCGCGUGAGUGAAGAAGGCCUUAGGGUUGUAAAGCUCUUUCGCCGGAGAAGAUAAUGACGGUAUCCGGAGAAGAAGUCCCGGCUAACUUCGUGCCAGCAGCCGCGGUAAUACGAAGGGGGCGAGCGUUGUUCGGAAUAACUGGGCGUAAAGGGCGCGUAGGCGGGUAAUUAAGUUAGGGGUGAAAUCCCAAGGCUCAACCUUGGAACUGCCUUUAAUACUGGUUAUCUAGAGUUUAGGAGAGGUGAGUGGAAUUCCGAGUGUAGAGGUGAAAUUCGCAGAUAUUCGGAGGAACACCAGUGGCGAAGGCGGCUCACUGGCCUGAUACUGACGCUGAG